rnacentral:rRNA from 1 species
UGCAGUCGAGCGGUAGCACAAGGAGAGCUUGCUCUCUGGGUGACGAGCGGCGGACGGGUGAGUAAUGUCUGGGAAACUGCCUGAUGGAGGGGGAUAACUACUGGAAACGGUAGCUAAUACCGCAUAACGUCUUCGGACCAAAGUGGGGGACCUUCGGGCCUCACGCCAUCAGAUGUGCCCAGAUGGGAUUAGCUAGUAGGUGGGGUAAUGGCUCACCUAGGCGACGAUCCCUAGCUGGUCUGAGAGGAUGACCAGCCACACUGGAACUGAGACACGGUCCAGACUCCUACGGGAGGCAGCAGUGGGGAAUAUUGCACAAUGGGCGCAAGCCUGAUGCAGCCAUGCCGCGUGUGUGAAGAAGGCCUUCGGGUUGUAAAGCACUUUCAGCGAGGAGGAAGGGUUCAGUGUUAAUAGCACUGUGCAUUGACGUUACUCGCAGAAGAAGCACCGGCUAACUCCGUGCCAGCAGCCGCGGUAAUACGGAGGGUGCAAGCGUUAAUCGGAAUUACUGGGCGUAAAGCGCACGCAGGCGGUUUGUUAAGUCAGAUGUGAAAUCCCCGCGCUUAACGUGGGAACUGCAUUUGAAACUGGCAAGCUAGAGUCUUGUAGAGGGGGGUAGAAUUCCAGGUGUAGCGGUGAAAUGCGUAGAGAUCUGGAGGAAUACCGGUGGCGAAGGCGGCCCCCUGGACAAAGACUGACGCUCAGGUGCGAAAGCGUGGGGAGCAAACAGGAUUAGAUACCCUGGUAGUCCACGCUGUAAACGAUGUCGACUUGGAGGUUGUGCCCUUGAGGCGUGGCUUCCGGAGCUAACGCGUUAAGUCGACCGCCUGGGGAGUACGGCCGCAAGGUUAAAACUCAAAUGAAUUGACGGGGGCCCGCACAAGCGGUGGAGCAUGUGGUUUAAUUCGAUGCAACGCGAAGAACCUUACCUACUCUUGACAUCCACAGAAUUCGCUAGAGAUAGCUUAGUGCCUUCGGGAACUGUGAGACAGGUGCUGCAUGGCUGUCGUCAGCUCGUGUUGUGAAAUGUUGGGUUAAGUCCCGCAACGAGCGCAACCCUUAUCCUUUGUUGCCAGCACGUAAUGGCGGGAACUCAAAGGAGACUGCCGGUGAUAAACCGGAGGAAGGUGGGGAUGACGUCAAGUCAUCAUGGCCCUUACGAGUAGGGCUACACACGUGCUACAAUGGCGUAUACAAAGAGAAGCGAACUCGCGAGAGCCAGCGGACCUCAUAAAGUACGUCGUAGUCCGGAUCGGAGUCUGCAACUCGACUCCGUGAAGUCGGAAUCGCUAGUAAUCGUAGAUCAGAAUGCUACGGUGAAUACGUUCCCGGGCCUUGUACACACCGCCCGUCACACCAUGGGAGUGGGUUGCAAAAGAAGUAGGUAGCUUAACCUUCGGGAGGGCGCU